GGUUCCAUGGCGCAAUUGGCUAGCGCGUCUGACUGUUAAUCAGGAGGUUCUGAGUUCGAGCCUCAGUGGGACCG